rnacentral:rRNA from 1 species
UACGUAGGGGGCAAGCGUUGUCCGGAUUUAUUGGGCGUAAAGAGCGUGUAGGCGGCCAGAUAGGUCCGUUGUGAAAACUCGAGGCUCAACCUCGAGAUGUCGAUGGAAACCGUCUGGCUAGAGUCCGGAAGAGGAGUGUGGAAUUCCUGGUGUAGCGGUGAAAUGCGCAGAUAUCAGGAAGAACACCUAUGGCGAAGGCAGCACUCUGGGACGGUACUGACGCUGAGACGCGAAAGCGUGGGGAGCGAACAGG